rnacentral:rRNA from 1 species
GGCAACCCUGACGGAGCAAUACCGCGUGAGGGAGGAGGGCCUUUGGGUUGUAAACCUCUUUUCUUAAGGAAGAAGCUCUGACGGUACUUAAGGAAUCAGCAUCGGCUAACUCCGUGCCAGCAGCCGCGGUAAUACGGAGGAUGCAAGCGUUAUCCGGAAUUAUUGGGCGUAAAGCGUCCGCAGGCGGCAUUAUAAGUCUGCUGUCAAAGACCGCAGCUCAACUGCGGAGAGGCAGUGGAAGCUGUAAAGCUAGAGUACGGUAGGGGUAGAGGGAAUUCCCAGUGUAGCGGUGAAAUGCGUAGAGAUUGGGAAGAACACCAGUGGCGAAAGCGCUCUACUGGGCCGUAACUGGCGCUCAGGGACGAAAGCUAGGGGAGCG